GAGCUCUUAUUCUCCAUGUCUUAUUCCAUGCGAAUCUGUCCUUUGUUCUGUUCUUCUCUCCCCACUCUCUGCCUUGGCAAUCUCUGGCAGCCCAUGCUUCAGCCAUCCCCUAUGAAGAUGGUUCCUAAAUCUGCAUCUCCAGCCAUGGCCUCUUUUUGGAGUUCCAGACUCACAUUAUCAGCUGCGUUUUGAACACCUCCACCGGGAUGGCCCACCAGCCUGGCAAACUCAGCCAUGGUUGCUUGUUACCCAGGCAAUGGGACGGGAUAUGUGCGUCAUGUUGAUAAUCCCAAUGGAGAUGGAAGAUGUGUGACAUGUAUAUAUUAUCUUAAUAAAGACUGGGACGCCAAGGUAAGUGGAGGUAUACUUCGAAUUUUUCCAGAAGGCAAAGCCCAGUUUGCUGACAUUGAACCCAAAUUUGAUAGACUGCUGUUUUUCUGGUCUGACCGCCGCAACCCUCAUGAAGUACAACCAGCAUAUGCUACAAGGUACGCAAUAACUGUUUGGUAUUUUGAUGCAGAUGAGAGAGCCCGAGCUAAAGUAAAAUAUCAAACAGGUGAAAAAGGUGUGAGGGUUGAACUAAAUAAACCUUCUGAUUCGAUCAGUAAAGACGUCUUAUAGAGAGACUGAUCCAGCAAUACCCUCCUUCACCUCCAGUGACUGUUGGCGCUGUUUGUUAACUUGUGACUACAAAUGAAUGGGAUAAAGAAAAAUAGACAACCAGUUGGCAUUUUCAUAAGGAAACGGAAACAACCUUUUGGUGUUGCAUCAGGAAGAUUUGACCGUGUGGCUUUGUACUGCAUGACUGACUCCAAACCUGUGAUUGCUGAUGGAAGAAUAUAAGCUACCAGCUGAGAAUGGUCUCUACCCCGGACAUGAUAAGUGCCCUCGGUAGCAUUGUUUCAUUCUUACAUUUUGUCAGAUCUGCCAUCUAGCUGAGUUCAUUUCAUCUCUCCCUUUUUUAUAUAGUCAAGUUCGAAUUUGGAGUAAUUUUUGUAUGAUCAGGUACAAUUUAUCAAAACUGAAUUGAGAAAAAAUUACAGCAUUGUCCCCCAAAAUAGCAUCAAUCUAUUUUUGUAAACCUCUUCGUACUAUUAAAUUUUGCCCUAAAAGACCUCUUAUAAUGAUUGCUGCCAGUGACUGACAAUUAAUUUUCUUUUUACUUACAAGAAGGAGCACUUUAAUUACCAGCUGAAAAAUCGGAUUUUUUGUAGUCCUGUCUUACACUAAUUUGAACUCUUAAACAUGGCUUCUGUUGUUUUUGUUGACAUUGUUAAUAAUGAAACAUAACAGUAAAACCAUCACCAUUUACUACCAAUAACUUUUAGUUCCGAAUGUUUUCUAAGAAAAAAUACACAAUAAGAAAAAUACAGGUUUAUAUUUUAAGUUAAAUUUUUUUUUAAAAAGCUACAGUGACUGGCACUACGUGAACUUGAGGGUAUCUUCAGCCUCACGUUCCCGGGAUAAAGGGCUUUCCUAAGCUCUCAGGUGUGUCCUGUGGAGCAGCGGUCGCCAGCCUUUCAGACCUCAAGGACCACCAGGGUCCGCGGACCAACCAUUGGCCACGCUGCUAUAGAUAGAAGAGCCCCUUCUAGGGCUUUUCCUUGGGCUUCCCAAAUGGUUGGUUGCAUGUUGAGCUUUGCUAUUACGUUUUCCUGUUCCUAUGACCCUCACCCCCCGCCCCCACCCCCCGACCUGCAGGUCAGAACCUGGUUCCCCUUGGGUAGCCUCUAGGGGAGGCUGUGCUUCAAAACUGACCUGUCACAGAGGGGAUGUUAGUGACACCUCAGUCCGCUGCUGAGGGGGUCCCCACCCGUGAGGCUGGCCUCUUGAUCACCAAAAGGUGUGUGGUUCGAGUGGAAAAUCAAAAGAAGGGAACAGCAAGAUCAUUUCACGUGUGAGUUUUCCUUUUUACUUUUCAGAAAAAGAGGGAAUGUUCCGAAAUCACACAAGGCCUCCCAGACUUGGCCACAUAAUGUAUGAACCGGAACGGGUGUCCUAGGCAAAGCGCACAGGGUGGCACCCGUAUCCUGCACGCAUUAUGGGUGGAAGGCCCACUUCGGUUUCCUAUCUGUCCUUGAUCUUCUUGGCCAAAACAAUGUGAGUGUACAGAAAUACUUCUGUAUAUUUCCGCUGACAACAGUUUUAAGCAUUUGUAUUGUUUGUAUUCACGUAGAGACUUUUUCUAUGGAAAGCUCAGUAAUUUGUAUUAAAAGAUCAAUAUUGUUCAUGUAAAACAUGAAAAAAAAAUGUAGUGAAACCAACAGUGUGGAUCUAGGGGGGGACUGAUACUCAGUGUCGCGGCCUCACUGCGGAGAACUGCAGGACAAAGCUGCAGUUUAUGUCUUUUUCAUAGCCCGUCUUCAGUCUUGUCCCACUUCCUCUCCUCAUCCCGAUCAUGCAGUGUAACACCUCCACAGCUAGUGCCUCGGCAGCCGGCCUGGGGGCGUCCCAGCCAGCUGGUCUCAGCGUGCGCUGCCUCGUUAGGUGUCGAGCAGGUUGUGCUGUGUGGAUGGGAGGUCUGUCUGACUGUCAGGGUACUCAGCAACAGCCUCCCAGCCUGGGAGCCCCGUGUCACGCUCCAAUGUCCACCUGCAGCUCUGCUAGGUGGGCUGUGCUGCCAGGCAGGGCUGACCUUUGUAGUUUGGGGGAGGAGUUUAUGUAAUCCCUUGGAGGUCAUUGUGAAAGGAUCAAGAACCAGAAUAGCCAUUUCUUUAAUGUCCAUUUAAAAUCUGCUCGUUUCUUGUUAGUGGGGCCGUGACGUUGUCACCAAGCAGGACUCUUGUUCAAAACAAAAUUUAAAAUUAUUUGUGGCCUCUAUGUGUUUAAUCCUGGUUAAAGACAAAGCUUCUAAUGCUGUUUUUAUUCAACACAUUAACCAGCUGUAAAGCACAGACCUUCAUAAACAGGCAAAGAAUCUCAGGAUUCAUGCGUAGACCGUGCAAAGUCAUGUAAUUUGAAAAGCAGCGUUGCAUUAUGAAAGAGCGCCCAAGCUGCUUGUAAAGCUAAUCUAAUUAAAGUGAUGUAUAAACGUUCCUGGGAAAAAAGUAUGCUUGUUAUUUCCACCUGUCUUUUCCUGUUUUUUAAUCCUUUCUCAGAGACCGACUUUCUCUGUAUCCCAUACUGUGCUUUCCUAUCCCACACCUCUGGCGUGGUUCAGAAUGUUGGCUGUCACUUUCUGUAAAUGGUCAGGGAAAGAGGGAAACCAGUAAACAUGGGGGGGCCCAUGUGAGAGGCAUCCUGGGGGUCAUUGCGCUGCCCGUGGGGCCCCUGAGCUCUGUGCUGAGAUUCUCAACGUUCGGGUUCUGCCCCUUUGAAUAGGAUUUUUAGAACGACGCUAACACUCAUGCUCUGGAGCACACCGGUGUCGCCCUGUGCUGCAAAAGGACGGGGCAUUGGCCCUUUGUCCCUAAUUGUCAGAGGUGUCCUGUUGGGUGGGAGUAGUUAUGAGUUUGUGUGUCAUCGACUAAACUGUAUGAGCUCUUAUAAAAGGAGAUCAGUGGACAUCUUCACUUACCUCUCCUUUAAAUACCUUUAGUGUGGGCCCCCCCCCCCCCCAGCCCAUCUUAGGGCGUUUGGAAAAUUGUACUGAAAUGCAGCUGGGUGAAUUCAAGGAGAGGACAAAUGAGUUCGAGAUGAAGACUAAUUAAAUUAGGCAGUGUAGUAAAAAGAGCAGACAGAAUUGACCAAUCUGUUUAGUUCUGGCUCAGCCACUUAAUUGUGUGACACUUAGAGCCAUUUUAAGCACAAUAGCUACAGACUUAGUCGUGUAAGACCUAAUGAAAUACAGAUUGCCCAAGGGGCACCUGGGCCAAGGAUGAGAACUGUGUACCGUAUGUUUAAUAACAUAAUUGUACAUUAGCUUGUUUUCAGUUGUUUAAAAACAUUCAGUUGUUUAGAAACACCCAGUCUUAGUGCUUCAAGGAUGGUUUUGGGGACAUCUGAGGUCAGGGAUACAUCCCCCGGAUUCCGAUUUUGGUUUUAAUGCAGAUUCUUUUCAUCAUCGCCAGCUAGUCAGUUUCACCUGAAACACGGCCAUGUUCAAGGAUCUGCCAUGGGGUCAGUGAUGAAUAUAAAGGGCAGGGCCUCGUGAGCUGGAAGACUUGUAAGUAGAGGACACAGGCCACUUCCCAAGACAGGGAGCGCGCACACAGCUACAGGCAGCUAACGCUCCUUUCAUCGAAUGGAUUGAGCUCUGAACAAGGUGUCAGAGGUUAUUGGGUGUAAGGUCUCCUUUGCAUCGAGAUGAAGACUUUUCCUGCCCAAAUCACUCUAUUUCUUUGGUGUUCUAUAAAAUACCUUUACAAUUUUUCCCCAGGACACACCAAGCAGAGCAAUCUUGAUCUCCACUUACAAAUAAAACAGGACCAGAGAAGUGACUUUUGUUAAAAAAAAAAGGGGAACGCUUCAUGAAUUCGCGUGUCAUGCGUGUGCAGGGGCCGUGCUAACCUUCUCUGCAUCGUUCCGUUUCAGCGUCGGGGCUGCCGAAGUGAUCCCUGGGCGUUUGCCCGGUUCUGAGUUCCGUUGCGACAUCGCUGCGCCUCGAUUUUGCAGCCCCAGGCGUGAUCUCUAACUUCCAACAUGGGAGACACGCACAGGCCUCUGCAGCCCCAGCUGCUUGUCGAGCUCCUGCCACAUCCCCCCUCUUCCUCAUGUAAUCGCGCUGUAACUUGGGUUCACACCAGGUUAAUAGACUGCGAGCUCACUUAAAGCUGAGACGCGUGUUAGUAACCAGGGUGACUUGUCUUCCACGGUGGACUGUUCUCCUUCCUGCCUCGGUUCCUCCCUCUUUUCCCUGCAGCCUCCGACCUGGGGCAGGGCUUGUGGAGCCAUCGCCCUUUAUGGGGGCUGAGCGCCGUCUUCCUCAGGCGCCUCUCCCCAUUGUUCCGGGGGCCCCUUCCCCGCUCGGUUGGAUCUUGGGUUUCCUGGACCCCACGCUUCCUCUUUCUGGGUUUACUUCCUCGGUCUGGCACGGGUGCCCUCAGCGCUUCCUGUGGAGCCACGUGGUGGCGAGUUUUCCCAGGCCAGUGUCUGUUGUCCCCUUCGUGGCUCAUUUGAGUUCCCAGUUCCAACUUGGCCAUGAGUUUCCUUCAGGAUUUGGAAGGCAUCGCCUCCCUGCUUCUAGGUGGCAGGUGGGCGCUGAGCCGUCUGCAGCCUUGGCCGGCUGUGUGUGUGUAACCUGCCUUUUCUCUGCGGUCGGACGCCCAUGGCUUUGCCCUUGGUCCCAGGGCACUGUAGGCUUCCCGUGUGCUUUGGCGUGGGCCUGCGUGUGUGCCCUACAUUUGGGGACAUUUUCUUUAUUCUUUUUUUAAUUUAAAUUCUUUAUUGUUUAAAGUAUUACGUAAGUCUCCCUUUUCCCCCAUUGACCUCCCCCACCCCCGCCCCGCCAACAUUUUCUUAAAUGAUAUUAUUUCUCUCCUGCAUCCUUGGCUCGUUGUGGAGUACCUCCUGGUGGGCCUGCAUAUCUGUCCUUUAUUUUGGAGACUCCUAUCCCGCUCCCACCCCCGUUUUCCCAGCAGGAGUUUCAUGUCUGCUGUUGGGUUUUAAUCCAGGGCUUUCUUUUGUUCUCUCCAUUUUUAAAAAAAACACAUAAGGUGUUCCAUUUAAUGGAUAGUCUUCAACCUUCCUGUUGGUUUUCGGUUUUGCCCUUCCUGUUGGACACUCUCCUCGCACGUCUGGUCGUUCUUGCUGUGUGUUCAUGUUUAAGGGAAGGUACUUGGGCUUGUGGGUUUUCAAUAAAUAUUGGCAGCUGCCUAAAUCCGAAUCUUGCGUAAUCCUCCCGACACGAUCCAGACCGGGGAACAGCGUCACCUUUCCCUUGUCCCUGCAGCAUCACCGAGACACGAGAAACAGUUCCGUGACAGCAGAGAACACGCACCAGGACCCACGGGAGGGUGGAGUCAGGUGGAAGCUCUGGUGGAGGGGUGAGGGCCAUGGGGCCAGCGUGGCCGUUCACGGGACAGCAGGGACCCCACCGCGAGGGAAGGAAGCGCUGAUGAAUCCGACACCAGCUGCACGAGAAGCGGAUGUUGGGAGUUCCUGAGAUCACAGCUCGCCUGUUGGGGAGCCUCCCAUUUCUGGGAGAGGGGAAGGUACCUCCUAGAGGCUUGACGGGAAAGUGAAAGAAGCAGCGAAAACUAAAAUAAAGGCCUCAGAGGAGACUCCAAACCCUCUCACCUCACAAAGAAAUGCUGUAUUGCACCGUCCCAACAGAUGAGAGAAGCCACACACCCCUGUCCUUGCUACCGAGAGCCAACUGCAGUGCCUUUCAAACAGGAAAAGGAAGACAGGUGGUGUGAGCACUGUGAGAAGAAGCGACGGGAUCCACACAGCCCAGGGACAUGUCUCGCCAGCCACUGGCAGAAGAGAACUGGAACCACCCCGGGUCUGAAGGAAAUACCUCACCUCCCACAGGACUGCAGAAAUCGAACUGAAAAUGAAAAAUCUCCACCAAAAAUGGACCCAAAGAGGAAACAGAGAAACCUCAGGGAGCGUUGAAACAAGGCUUGAUGUAACUCGGCAAAGAAAUAGGAAAAGACAAAAUUAUCUCAAAUUAACAUGAAGUUAUAAAGUACCCAACAAAGAAUAGUGGCACCUGAAAACACAGUGAGAUAUAAGAAAGAGGAAAGCGGCCAAGAGUUCAAAACAGAAGGGAUGGACACAGGUGCACUGUGGAGGGUCACACCGUGAUCCCUGCCCAGCACUGAGGAGCAGCAGUCUGCAGACGCACAGCCUGCGGGCCAACUUGUCUCGC